AUACGGAGGGGGCAAGCGUUGUUCGGAAUUAUUGGGCGUAAAGGGCGCGUAGGCGGCCCUGUAAGUCGGUUGUGAAAUCCCUUGGCUCAACCAAGGAACUGCAACCGAAACUGUAGGGCUAGAGUCCGGGAGAGGGUAGUGGAAUUCCCAGUGUAGCGGUGAAAUGCGUAGAUAUUGGGAGGAACACCAGUGGCGAAGGCGGCUACCUGGACCGGUACUGACGCUGAGGCGCGAAAGCUAGGGGAGCAAACAGGAUUAGAAACCCCGGUAGUCC
rnacentral:rRNA from 1 species